rfam:Myotis lucifugus cont2.14432, whole genome shotgun sequence.
GGCGGUUCUCGGGUGACACACCCCAGAAUCGGACUCCCUCCUCUCUGGUUCCAGGGUGCUUCACCCAAGAACCGCC